GACGAACGCUGGCGGCGUGCUUAACACAUGCAAGUCGAACGGAAAGGCCCUUCGGGGUACUCGAGUGGCGAACGGGUGAGUAACACGUGGGUGAUCUGCCCUGCACUUUGGGAUAAGCCUGGGAAACUGGGUCUAAUACCGAAUAGGACCACGCGCUUCAUGGUGUGUGGUGGAAAGCUUUUGCGGUGUGGGAUGGGCCCGCGGCCUAUCAGCUUGUUUGUGGGGUAAUGGCCUACCAAGGCGACGACGGGUAGCCGGCCUGAGAGGGUGACCGGCCACACUGGGACUGAGAUACGGCCCAGACUCCUACGGGAGGCAGCAGUGGGGAAUAUUGCACAAUGGGCGCAAGCCUGAUGCAGCGACGCCGCGUGAGGGAUGACGGCCUUCGGGUUGUAAACCUCUUUCACCAGGGACGAAGCGUAAGUGACGGUACCUGGAGAAGAAGCACCGGCCAACUACGUG
rnacentral:rRNA from 1 species